rnacentral:rRNA from 1 species
GACGAACGCUGGCGGCGUGCCUAAUACAUGCAAGUAGAACGCUGAAGGAGGAGCUUGCUCUUCUGGAUGAGUUGCGAACGGGUGAGUAACGCGUAGGUAACCUGCCUGGUAGCGGGGGAUAACUAUUGGAAACGAUAGCUAAUACCGCAUAACAGUAGAUGUUGCAUGACAUUUGCUUAAAAGGUGCAAUUGCACCACUACCAGAUGGACCUGCGUUGUAUUAGCUAGUUGGUGGGGUAACGGCUCACCAAGGCGACGAUACAUAGCCGACCUGAGAGGGUGAUCGGCCACCCUGGGCCUGAGACACGCCCCAGACUCCUACGGGGGGCCGCAGUGGGAAAUCUUCGGAAAUGGACGGAAGUCUGACCGAGAAACGCCGCGUGAGUGAAGAAGGUUUUCGGAUCGUAAAGCUUUGUUGUAAGAAAAAAACGGGUGUGAGGGUGAAAAUUUCACCCUGUGGCGGUAUCUUACCAAAAAGGGACGGCUAACUACG